AUUACUAAAUACUCAGUUUAUUUUAGUCUACUAUAUAGUUCUAUAUUUAUAAAUAUACACAACAGCAUAAAUUUGUGCGCUAUAAAAAAGCUUUAAAAUAGAUUAUCUUAACAACAGUUAAUUAUGCAGAAAAUGUAGCUUUCUACCUUUACUCAUCCUUAUAUCAUCUCUAGUAUUAUUGUUCAUUAAAAAAUCAUACAAUUAAAACAUCUUUUUUUUAAAAUAAUUUCAAUGUCAUUUAAAUAGAUUGAGACUAAGGUAUGAUACUUGACAAGUACACUUAGAUAAAAUGUAAAAAGACUGACAAAAUAACUAAAAUGUCACUUUUAUUUACCAACCCUUUUUUAGGCAACAAGCUAUAAAUGUAUACAAGUCUCUUCAAUAUAUCUUGCUAUGGUCAACAUAAAAUUAAAAAAAAUAAAUAAAUGGUAAGAAACCUAAUACAACAGAAACUACUUCACAAAAUGCAUAUUAAUGCUUAUUGCUUAAUCGUCUAAUUGGAAGUAAGAUAAGGAAACUCUUUGAGUUAUGCUAUUAGAGCAUGGAAUGGGUU